GCCGGGACUGGGACCCGGGCAGGGGCAGGCUGGGAUCUGGGCCCGGGUCGCAGCCAGGGCGGGGGCGUUGGUGGGAGCGGCAGUGGCUGGGACCUGGGCGGGGGCGGGGCGCCGAGGGCGGGGCUGGGGCUGGGCCCCGGGCGGAGCCGAGGGCGGGGGGAGGUGGGCGGAGCGGGGCUGGGAAGCGGCGCGGCCGAGGGGCUGCAGGAAAGUUGCGGGGAUCGGAGCGGCAGCAGCCGCGGAGCCGCGGGAGUGGGGACCGCCCCGCGGGGGCAGAGCGGGCGGCGCGCACCGGGGCGGCAGGGAGCGCCCCAGACCCGUCUCCCGGGGAUGUGUGGGGCCCCGAGCCUGGUGCGGGCGCGCGGCCGGGCACAGCUGGGCUUGAAGCACUUUGGUAGAACACCUGGACACUCUGCCAACUGAGAUGAAAAGUUGCAUUUGCUUCUCAGAAGUCUACAUGCACAGCCUGAAAUUCCAGAGAAAUCACCCUCCUUAUCAGUACAGAUUUGAAGACCAAAAUGGAGAAAACAGAAAUGAUUGAUGAAGCAGGAGUGAAAUGGACACGUUAUAUGCAAAACAAGGGGGGCACUGGCUGUGGAGUAAUGGGCCCUUUGUGCUGAAACGUGGUCGUGUUGCAGCGGUUCCGUUACCCGUGUAUCAGAGAACCGACAAAAGGGAGGUGCACCGUAUGCAGGUUAGGAGUGAAAAAAGCAAGCCCUCCCCAACCACCAUCCCAAAUCUGGAACAAAUAAUCCUAAAAUUUGUAUGGAACCAGAAAAGAUCCCAAAUAGUCAAAGGAAUGUUGAAAAAGGAAACCAAAACUGGUGGCAUCACAAUAUUCACAAUAUUGGACUUCAAGUUCUAUUACAAAGGCAUAAUCAUCAAGACAAUAUGAUACUUGCACAAAAACAGACACACAGAUAAAUGGAACAGAAAAGAGAACCCAGAAAUGGACCCUCAACUCUAUGAUAAACUAGUCUUUGACAAAGGAGGAAAGUGUAUCCAAUGGAAAAAAAAAGUCUCUUCAAAACACGGUGUUGGGAAAAUUGGACAGCCACAUGCAGAAAAAUGAAAUGGGACCAUUUCCUCACACCAUGCACAAAAAGAGACUCGAAAUGGAUGAAAAACCUAAAUGUGAGAUAGGAAUCCAUCAAAGUCCUAGAGGAGAACACAGGCAGCAAUCUCUGUGACCUCAGUUGCAGCAAAUUCUUGCUGAACACAUCUCCAAAGGCAAAGGAAACAAAGGCAAAAAUCAAUCAUUGGGACUUCAUUAGGAUAAAAAGCUUUUGCACAACAAAGGAAAUAGUCAACAAAACUGAAAGACAGCUGACAGAAUGGGAGAAGAUAUUUGUAAAUGUCUUAUCAGAUAAAGGGCUGGUAUCCAAAAUCUGUAAAGAACUUAUCAAGCUCAACACCCAAAGACUAAAUAAUCUAAUCAAGAAAUAGGCAGAAGACAUGAACAGACACUUCUCCAAAGAAAACAAAAAAAUGGCCAACAGACACAUGAAAAAGUGCUCAACAUCUCUUGGCGUCAGGGAAAUACAAAUCAAAACCACAAUGAGAUAUGACCUCAUACCAGUCAGAAUGGCUAAAAUUGACAAGUCAGAAAAUGAGAGAUGUUGGUGAGGAUGCAGAGAAAGGGGAAUCUUUCCCUGUACACUGUUGGUGGGAAUGCAAGCUUGUGCAUGGAAGUUCUUCAAAAAGUUAAAAUAGAGCUAUCCUAUGACCCAGCAAUUGCACUAAAGACACAAAUGUGGUGAUCCAAAGGGGCACUUGCACCCCAAUAUUUAUGGCAGCAAUGUCCACAAUACCCAAACUAUGGAAAGAGCCCAGAUGUCUACUGACAGAUGACUGCAUAAAGAAGAUGUGCUGUAUAUAUACAAUGGAAUAUUACUCAGCCAUCAAAAAUGUAAUCUUACCAUUUGCAAUGACACGGAUAGAGGGUAUUAUGCUAAGCAAAAUAAGUCAAUCAGAGAAAGACAAUUAUCAUAUAAUCUCACUUGUAUGUGGAAUUUAAGAAACAAAACAGAGGAGCGUGGGGAAGGGAAGAAAAAAAUAAAAACAAGACAAAAUCAGAGAAGGAGACAAACCAUAAGAGACUUUUUUUUAAAGAUUUUAUUUAUUAUUCAUGAGAGACACACAGAGAGGGAGAGGCAGAGACACAGGCAGAGGGAGAAGCAGGCUCCAUGCAGGAAACCCGAUGUGGGACUCAAUCCCAGGACUCCAGGAUCACACCCUGAGCCAAAGGCAGACACUUAACUGCUGAGCCACCCAGGUGUCCCAAAUUUAAAUCUUUAAAAAAAGGGGGGGGGGGAUUCCAACACAUAAAAAAAGAAUAGGCAGGACUAAACUAUUUAGAAUAGGGUUACAUAGUGGAUGAUAAAACAAUACACCUUUCAAGCCAUAGGUGGGAACUUGAUCACACCCCUACUUCCUUCCAAGAAACCAAGUUAGAGCCAGGGCUCAAAGUGUCCUUCCAUCUCACACUCACUUCUAGUGGACUAGAAUUUGAAGAGGACACAGUGACAGGAAUUCUGUGUCUUGAUGCCUUUUACUGCAGCCAGUAGACCACAGCCAAUACCUGACAGACUCCUUUCUGCUAGGAACUUCUCGUUUUUGGAAGGAGACACUAGAUAACAGUGAAAAAUUCUCAAGUGGCCAAAUAUACAUAUAAUUGGAGUCCCUACAACAAAGGAUAAAGAAAAAUGGAAUAUUUUUAAAAACCUUGAAGAAAUUACAGCCAGUAGUAGCUUUUCAAAUCUGAUUUUAGAAGAGCAAAAUAAGGGAUGCCUGGGUGGCUCAGCAGUUGAGCAUCUGCCUUUGACUCAGGGCAUGAUUCCAGGGUCCUGGGAUUGAGUCCUGCAUUGGGAUACCUGCAGGGAUCCUGCUUCUCCCCUCUGCCUCUGCCUCUGCCUCUCUGUCUGUGUCUCUCAUGAAUAAAUAAAUAAAAUCUUUUAAAAAAAGAUCAAAACAAAACAAAAAUAAAAACAAAACACCCCAUAACCUAGAGAACCAAAGAGUUCAACAGACCCAAGCAAGAGAAACUUGAAGAAACCACACUAAGACACAGAGAAAUUCUAAGCCAAAAAGAUGUCAUCCUUGUAAAGGGACACAGAGAUGACAGCAGAUUUUUCGCUGGGCAUGAUGAAGGCUAAAGGAGAGUGGAAUGGCAUCUUCACAGCUGGGUAAGGAAAGAGAAACUAAAAGCAACUGUCAACCUAGAUUUUUUUUACCAUGAAAACAUCUUUUAGGAUGAACGUGAAAAUGUUCUUCACCAGAAUUACACUACAAAAAAAAAAAAAUUAGUCUUGUAAGUAGAUGACAAUGACACUGGCUGGAAACCUGGAGCAACUGAAAGAAAAUAAGACCACUGGAAAUCAUGGUUUCAUAACUAAAUAUAAAGACAUUUGUCUUAUUACCUACAUAGCUUAAAAAUAUCAAUUGUUUAAAGCAUAUAUAGAAAUUGUAUGUCAUCAUGGGGUUCAUAACAGAUGCAGAAGUAAAUGAGUUACAACAACACAAACAAUAAUGAGAAGAAGAAAAGGAAAUACACCAUUUUAGUAUUCUUAUAUCACAUAUGAAUUAGUGUACUGUCACUCGAGGGCCAACUGUGUUCAGUUAAACAUGCAUACUGUAAACCCUAAAACUCAAACUAAAAUAAUAAACAGAGGUACAGGUAAUAAGUCUCCAAAAGGAAAUUAAAAGUUAUACAAUUUUUGAAGGCAUAAAAGGAGAGAAGAGGGGCAACGAGAGAUCAGAUAGCAGGAUUGUAGAUUCAAUGGACAAUAUCAUUAGUCAUUGUUAAUGCAGAUAGUGUGAACUCCCCAGAUGAAACCCAGAGAUUGUCAGAUUGCCUUACAAGGGCAGAUGCAACUAAAAAUAUUAGAAAAAAUGUUUUCUAAUUUUUUAUGACUUAUUCUUUAAUCUAUUGGCCAAUUAGAAGUUUAUUGUUUGAUUUCUGUAUUUGAGGAUUAUCCAAAUAUUCUGUUGUUGAUAUUAGUUAAUUCUCCUAUAGUCAGAAAACACACUUUAUGUGACUUCAAUGAAAUAUAAUUUGUGUACAUUUAUUAUUUGGCCUAGAUUAUGAUAUAAAUUAAUAAAUGUUCCAUGUAGCCUUGAAAAUAAAUUUAUUUUCUGCUGCUGUUGGGUGGACUAUUCUAGAACUGUUUUUUGGUUGUGUCUCUGUAUUGUUUGUUGUUAUGGUUUCUUCCUUUGUUCUCUUACUUUAUCUGCUUCACUGAGAUAUAAUUGCUACACAAUAAAUUGCA
rnacentral:lncRNA from 1 species